UGCAAGUCGAGCGGACCUGAUCGGAGUAGCUUGCAUCUCUCGUAGAUGCGUUAGCGGCGGACGGGUGAGUAACACGUAGGCAACCUGCCCGUAAGACCGGGAUAACUACCGGAAACGGUAGCUAAUACCGGAUAAUCAAGUCUCUCGCAUGAGAGGCUUGGGAAAGGCGGAGCAAUCUGUCACUUACGGAUGGGCCUGCGGCGCAUUAGCUAGUUGGUGGGGUAACGGCUCACCAAGGCGACGAUGCGUAGCCGACCUGAGAGGGUGAACGGCCACACUGGGACUGAGACACGGCCCAGACUCCUACGGGAGGCAGCAGUAGGGAAUCUUCCGCAAUGGACGAAAGUCUGACGGAGCAACGCCGCGUGAGUGAUGAAGGUUUUCGGAUCGUAAAGCUCUGUUGCCAGGGAAGAACGUCUUCUAGAGUAACUGCUACGAGAGUGACGGUACCUGAGAAGAAAGCCCCGGCUAACUACGUGCCAGCAGCCGCGGUAAUACGUAGGGGGCAAGCGUUGUCCGGAAUUAUUGGGCGUAAAGCGCGCGCAGGCGGCUGUUUAAGUCUGGUGUUAAUCCUGGGGCUCAACUCCGGGUCGCACUGGAAACUGGACGGCUUGAGUGCAGAAGAGGAGAGUGGAAUUCCACGUGUAGCGGUGAAUGCGUAGAGAUGUGGAGGAACACCAGUGGCGAGGCGACUCUCUGGGCUGUACUGACGCUGAGCGCGAAAGCGUGGGGAGCAACAGGAUUAGAUACCUGGUAGUC
rnacentral:rRNA from 1 species